ensembl:snRNA U6 U6 spliceosomal RNA
GCCUUUAGAAAUAACGUAAAUGCUAAAAUCAGAACAACCCAGAGGCGAUUAGCACGGCCCCUGAGCAAGGACGACACGCGCUCGUGAGGCGGUCCAGGCUUCU